ACAGGGUGACAGGUGGUGCAUGGUUGUCGUCAGCUCGUGUCGUGAGAUGUUGGUUAAGUCCCGCAACGAGCGCAACCCUCGACCUUAGUUGCCAGCAUUCAGUUGGGCACUCUAAGGUGACUGCCGGCUAAAAGUCGGAGGAAGGUGGGGAUGACGUCAAAUCAUCAUGCCCUUAUGACCUGGGCUACACACGUGCUACAAUGGGCGGUACAAAGGGUCGCGAACCCGCGAGGGGGAGCCAAUCCCAAAAAGCCGCUCUCAGUUCGGAUUGCAGGCUGCAACUCGCCCUCAUGAAGCUGGAAUCCGUAGUAAUCGCGUUUCAACAGAACGCGGUGAAUACGUCCCUGUCGUCCUU
rnacentral:rRNA from 1 species